UAAAGGAAUUGGCGGGGGUAGCACCGCAACGGGAGGAGCGUGCGGUUUAAUUGGAUUCAACACCGGAAAACUCACCAGGAGCGACGGUUACAUGAAAGUCAGGCUGAUGACCUUACUCGAUUUUCCGAGAGGUGGUGCAUGGCCGUCGUCAGUUCGUACCGUAAGGCGUUCUCUUAAGUGAGAUAACGAACGAGACCCUCACCAAUAGUUGCUACUUCAUCCUCCGGGGUGGAGGCACACUAUUGGGACCGCUGGCGCUAAGUCAGAGGAAGGAGAGGUCAACGGUAGGUCAGUAUGCCCCGAAUCUCCUGGGCUACACGCGCGCUACAAAGGGCGGGACAAUGGGCUCCGACACCGAAAGGUGAAGGUAAUCUCGAAACCCGUCCGUAGUUCGGAUUGAGGGUUGUAACUCACCCUCAUGAAGCUGGAUUCCGUAGUAAUCGCGAAUCAACAACUCGCGGUGAAUAUGCCCCUGCUCCUUGCACACACCGCCA
rnacentral:rRNA from 1 species